GAUGCCUCACAUGCAGGCUGAAAAAGAAGAAGACGCGAACAUGCUCAGGACAGUUCAGACAUUGUGGUGAAAAUCAGAGGACUGACAGACCGCAACAGUUUGCGUUAAAAAUCUCCCUUUGUGUUCUACUGAAGAAGCAAAGUCACCUACAUCUCGGAUGCCCUGGGGUGCUAAAUUAUUUAAAGAGGGCACGAAGAGGGACAGAAGGAGAUGAAGAAAAGGGCGGCAGACUGCCAUGAUGAGGGUGAGAUGUUUGGUACCUCUGUGUCAGUCCCAAAUG